UACGUAGGUGGCAAGCGUUAUCCGGAAUUAUUGGGCGUAAAGCGCGCGCAGGUGGUUUCUUAAGUCUGAUGUGAAAGCCCACGGCUCAACCGUGGAGGGUCAUUGGAAACUGGGAGGCUUGAGUGCAGAAGAGGAAAGUGGAAUUCCAUGUGUAGCGGUGAAAUGCGUAGAGAUAUGGAGGAACACCAGUGGCGAAGGCGACUUUCUGGUCUGUAACUGACACUGAGGCGCGAAAGCGUGGGGAGCGAACAGG
rnacentral:rRNA from 1 species